AACGCACCUUGCGCUCUCUGGUAUUCCGGAGAGCAUGCCUGUUUGAGUGUCAUGAACUCUUCAACCCACCGGUUCCUUGUUGGACCGUGUUGGUGUUUGGAUUUUGAGCGCCUGCAGUCGAAAGACUGCUCGCUCGUAAUGCAUUAGCAUCUCAAUUUCGAACCUCGGAUUGACUCAGCGUAAUAGACUAUUCGCUGAGGACACUCUUUCAUUAGGGUGGCCGAAUUGUAGAUAACAGUAGAAGCUGCCAACCCUUCUAGUCAAAUCUUUAGAUUUAGACCUCAAAUCAGGCAGGAUUACCCGCUGAACUUAA
rnacentral:misc_RNA from 2 species